UACGUAGGGUGCGAGCGUUAAUCGGAAUUACUGGGCGUAAAGGGUGCGUAGGCGGUUUAAUAAGUUAAGUGUGAAAGUCCUGGGCUUAACCUAGGGAAGUCAUUUAAGACUGUUAGACUAGAGUAUGGGAGAGGGUAGUGGAAUUUCCGGUGUAGCGGUGAAAUGCGUAGAGAUCGGAAGGAACACCAGUGGCGAAGGCGGCUACCUGGCCUAAUACUGACGCUGAGGCACGAAAGCAUGGGGAGCAAACGGG
rnacentral:rRNA from 1 species